rfam:Lupinus angustifolius cultivar Tanjil contig_54185, whole genome shotgun sequence.
GGUAGCGUGGCCGAGCGGUCUAAGGCGCCAGUUUCAGGUACUGGUCUCUUCGGAGGCGUGGGUUCGAAUCCCACCGCUGCCA